rnacentral:rRNA from 1 species
AACCCCUUUGACUUUGGGGGUUUUUAUAUACAUUUAUUUUUUUAAUACAUGUUAGUGAAUGCGAACAGGUGAGUAAAUUUGCAUAAUGAAGCAUACUAUUACCAGGAAUAUCAUUUAAUGAUUAGAAUGAUUCCUAAAACAAUUAGAAACUUCCACAUUUUUACUGAAACAAUGAAUCAUAUAAUACAGCAGUAUAGGAUAUUGCAAAAUUAGUUCUUACUAGAUGCAGAAAAAUAUAAAGAAUUGUCAAAUCAGGUGCCAGCAGACGCGGUUAGACCUGAAAUUCAAGCCUUAUUUCAAAACAGGCUCAAAGAAUGUUUAAUUAACAAACAAAUUUAAAUUAAAGGAGCAACAAGUAAUGAAGAAAUUAAAUCCAAUAACAUUACUAAGAAGACUUUACCUUUAUAUUAAAUGAAACAUUAAACAAUAGAAAGCCAAUGGGAUUAGAUACCCCAGUAACCUAUUACCUAAACUAAAAUUAAAUUUAAUAAAAAUAACUAAUUCGCCUGAGUAGUAUAAUCAAUUGAUUGAAAUUCAAAAAGUUUGGCUGUUCGUAUUCUAAUUAGAGGAUUGUGUAAUUUAAUAUGAUACUCCGCAUAGCACCUUACCUUAUCUAGAUACACAAGCGCUGCAUGGCCGUCAUUAGUUUGUGUUUAUCACAAAAACAAACCUAAUCUACAAAUAGACAAAGUCAGGUAUUAUGGCCUUUAUGAUAAGGGAAUUAUGCAAUACAAUUUUUGUGGGAAACAAAAAACAAAAUUGAAUAUAAUUUGAAAAUUUAUUGAAAUAGAAUUUAAUAGUAAUCGAAAAUUAGAAGGUUUCGGUGAACAAGUUCAAACGUUAGUACAAAUUGCCCGUCACCUUUUACAACCAAUAAAUAAUUAUUAGAAGUCAAAGCAAGUCGUAACAUAGUGAGGGAAAGGGAACUUUUCCUUGAAAA